rnacentral:rRNA from 1 species
GUCUAUAGCCACAGCACCUGGAAUAUGCCCAAUCUCAUCUGAUCUUGGAAGCUAAGCAAGGGUGGGUCUGGUUAGUAUUUAGAUGGGAGACAAAAUAGGAAUGGUUUAAUUUGUUGGUC